rnacentral:rRNA from 1 species
GACGAACGCUGGCGGCGUGCUUAACACAUGCAAGUCGAACGGAAAGGCCCUGCUUUUGUGGGGUGCUCGAGUGGCGAACGGGUGAGUAACACGUGAGUAACCUGCCCUUGACUUUGGGAUAACUUCAGGAAACUGGGGCUAAUACCGGAUAGGAGCUCCUGCUGCAUGGUGGGGGUUGGAAAGUUUCGGCGGUUGGGGAUGGACUCGGGGCUUAUCAGCUUGUUGGUGGGGUAGUGGCUUACCAAGGCUUUGACGGGUAGCCGGCUUGAGAGGGUGACCGGACACAUUGGACCGGAUGUACGGCCCAGACUCGUACGGGAGGCAGCAGUGGGGAUUAUUGCACAAUGGGCGGAAGCCUGAUGCAGGAACGCCGCGUGCGGGAUGACGGCCGUCUGGUUGUAAGCAGCUUUCGCCUGUGACGAAGCGUGAGUGACGGUGAUGGGUAAAGAAGCCCCGGCUAACUACGUG